rnacentral:rRNA from 1 species
GACGUAGGGGCCAGCGUUGUUCGGAAUUACUGGGUGUAAAGGGUUCGUAGGCGGUGCGGCAAGUUGGGAGUGAAAUCUCUGGGCUUAACCCAGAGGCUGCUUCCAAACUGCUGUGCUUGAGUGUGGAGAGGCGCGUGGAAUUGCAGGUGUAGCGGUGAAUGCGUAGAUAUCUGCAGGAACACCGUGGCGAAAGCGGCGCGCUGGACCACUACUGACGCUGAGGAACGAAGCUAGGGAGCAACAGG